rnacentral:rRNA from 1 species
UACAGAGGGGCAAGCGUUAUUCGGAAUUAUUGGGCGUAAAGGGCGCGUAGGCGGCUUGGCAAGUGGAUGGUGAAAUCCCUCGGCUUAACCGAGGAACUGCCGUCCAAACUGCUUCGCUUGAGACCGGGAGAGGUGAGUGGAAUUCCCAGUGUAGCGGUGAAAUGCGUAGAUAUUGGGAGGAACACCAGUGGCGAAGGCGGCUCACUGGACCGGUACUGACGCUGAGUGCGCGAAAGCGUGGGGAGCAAACGGG